GGGAAGGUGCGGGAGGAGAGGGAGGAGGCCGGGACUGCAGCCGUCGCCGGGCAGCGGGGCGCGGCAUCGCGGGGGCUGGACUCACCUGUCCCUUGGGCCCCGGCUCGCCAGACUCGCCCUGCAGGCACAGGGAAGCCGGGUCACGGGCGCUGAAGCCCCAGAGCCCGCCCCCCACCCGCCCCGGCCGCCCCCGCGCGGCCAGCUCACCUUCUCGCCUUUCUCUCCCGGGAGACCGGCCACCCCCCGGUCGCCCUGCAAAUUGAGCACAGCGAGUCAGAGCGGCGACGGACCCCCACCCGCCGCCGCCGCCGCCGCCGCCGCCGCCGCCCGGAACGCGGGGGGAGGGGAGACGCUGGUACUCACCACGCCGCCGCGGGGUCCGGUCUUCCCUGGGGAGCCCUGCAGCAAGCGGGCAGUCAGGACUUGGGCCGCCUGGGACCCGCCGGACAUAUUUUUCCGCGAAGAUCUGGAGGGCUGAGGAAGGACCUAACUGAGCUCCAGCCCCCCCAGGUCCUGAAGCCUCUUGCCCAGGUGAAAGAACUAAGGCACAGAAAGAGGGCCUCUCCCAAGGUCGCAGAGCCAACCCGCCAGCAACAGAGCUCAAUCCAGAAUCUCAGGCUCCUCGUCCUCUGAAGCUUGGACAGAGUUGACCCCGCUCUCUGUCUGGGGCACAUUGUCCACCUCCAAGCCUGGACCUCCACAUGAUGCUCCCUGACAACCUGCUGUCCUGCAGCUCUCACAGAUGGAGGCAUCACAUCCCUCAGGGUCAGAAUGUGGGAUCAGCAUCCACAUUAUUUCUUUGAGUGCUUCUCCAGAAAUGUGCUUGUAGAAGACUCUACUCCCUCAGGUGCCAACUGGUUCUAUCACCCCCUCCUCUUUUCUCUGGGUCCUUUCCCUCACUCACUAAUGAUUUGGGUACCUGGGUCACAUCUUCCCCUCCUCUCAGGGUCCUGCCAUCUGGGGCGCCUCACCAUCUUCUUGGAUGACCCUUUCAACAUCCCAGAUCCCAUUGCCUUAACCACCUCAUUUCUAGUGAUCAUCUCCUCAACUCCACUUCAGCCAUAUUCUCAAGGCCAUACCUGGGGCGUUGGCUUCAUUCAGAGUGCCUCAGCUCUGAAAUAUUAAAACCAAUCAACCCUGGGAUCCCUGAGCCACCGUGCAGGAAGUCUGACCAUCCUGCUGGGGAGACUACACGGAGAGAGAUGCCCAGCUGAGCCCAGCCUUCCAGCUGUCCACACCAAAGCACCAGGCAUUUUGAACCUUCCAGACCUGCCUGAUCACCUGCUAAAUGCCACUGAGGGCCUGAGGAAACUCCACAUGGAACAGAAGAAUUGCCCAGCUAAGCCUCAAUUACAGCUGUGAGUUUUUUAAAAAAGAUUUUAAAAUCUUUUUUUAAUUUUGAAAU